rfam:Triticum aestivum genome assembly, contig: Triticum_aestivum_CS42_TGACv1_scaffold_560084_7AL
GCCUUGAUGGUGAAAUGGUAGACACGCGAGACUCAAAAUCUCGUGCUGAAGAGCGUGGAGGUUCGAAUCCUCUUCAAGGCA